rnacentral:rRNA from 1 species
AUGCUGGACUAUAAAAUAAUGGGAUCAAAAUUAGGUUCAACAUCGUCAAGGACAAGAACACCUGAACCCAGAGAAGAUGACUAUCUGAUAGUAAUCCCCUAUUCCCACAUAUUUGGGCUUAUGCUGGAAGCUUUAAAAUUGCCCCCUGCAAUUUACCAUCACAAGAUACGUCCGGGUGGCAAGGCUCGUGUGACAGUCACUUUCAAUUCUUCCUUAGAGCAGCUUGAUGGUUUGCUUGUUCCUACCUCAAUAUCUGGUAUGGUUUCACAUACCUAUGAAGAUGCAGAAGACAGUGCCGCUAUAGAAGCUAUUAGAUAUAUGGAAAACGUGCGUGGGAAAGAAAUUAGAGACUACCACUACACCCAUGUCAUAACGCUUCAAAAUCAAGUUAGGCAUUUGGUCACGUGGUUGUUGGAAGGAAAUGAGACUAUCAAGUAA